rnacentral:rRNA from 1 species
GGAUGACUCUCGGCAAUGGAUAUCUAGGCUCUCGCAUCGAUGAAGAACGUAGCGAAAUGCGAUACUUGGUGUGAAUUGCAGAAUCCCGUGAACCAUCGAGUCUUUGAACGCAAGUUGCGCCGGAGCCGUCAGGCCGAGGGCACGUCUGCCUGGGCGACCGA